AACGAACGCUGGCGGCAUGCCUAACACAUGCAAGUCGAACGAGACCUUCGGGUCUAGUGGCGCACGGGUGCGUAACGCGUGGGAACCUGCCCUUAGGCUCGGAAUAACUCUCCGAAAGGGGUGCUAAUACCGGAUAAUGUCUUCGGACCAAAGAUUGAUCGCCUUUGGAUGGGCCCGCGUUGGAUUAGCUAGUUGGUAGGGUAAAAGCCUAUCAAGGCGACGAUCCAUAGCUGGUCUGAGAGGAUGAUCAGCCACACUGGGACUGAGACACGGCCCAGACUCCUACGGGAGGCAGCAGAGGGGAAUAUAGGACAAUGGGCGAAGGCCUGAUCCAGCAAUGCCGGGUGAGUGAUGAAGGCCUUAGGGAAGUAAAGCUCUUUUACCCGGGAUGAUAAUGACAGUACCGGAAGAAUAAGCACCGGCUAACUCCGUG
rnacentral:rRNA from 1 species